rnacentral:rRNA from 1 species
UACGUAGGGGCCAAGCGUUGUCCGGAUUUAUUGGGCGUAAAGAGCUCGUAGGCGGUUCGGCAAGUCAGCUGUGAAAUCUCCACGCUCAACGUGGAGGGGUCAGCUGAUACUGCUGUGACUCGAGUCCGGUAGGGGAGUGUGGAAUUCCCGGUGUAGCGGUGAAAUGCGCAGAUAUCAGGAGGAACACCGGUGGCGAAGGCGGGUCUCUGGGCCGAUACUGACGCUGAGGAGCGAAAGCGUGGGGAGCGAACAGG